rnacentral:rRNA from 1 species
AGACCAGCUUCUAAUCGUCCU